UUAAGCAUUAGCUCUGCUAAUGGGGUAGGAUCCGAGACCCUGUAAAGGGUUACAUAGGCUCUCCUACUCAACUCCUAUUCCGUCACGUCCCCGUCGUGCAGAGUGGUAACCUG
rnacentral:ribozyme from 1 species